ACAAGAACAUAUUAGAGUCAUUAUGAUCUCACCAGACUAUUUGAAAAUCAGUUUAUAUGGGACUUUCAUGCAGAGCUACUUUGUGCUGCUCCUGAACAUCAAUUUUCCAAGUGUAGAUCCAUCCUUAACCCUUAAAAUACACUUGAACAGAUAAACAAGGAUGGAAGUAAACACUGCCAGAAGGAUGAAGGCAAAACACCAGGAUGGAAAGAGACUGUAAAGACUGAUGCUCACAUCAAAGAUCUCAAAUCCAGCGAUGUCCAGCACACCAAUGAAGAACUGUCUAGGCUGCUUGGUAUCCAACAUCUCAUUGAUACGGACGACCAUCCACAAGAACAUUUUCUCAUAGACAGACUUGCAGAGAGCAGAGACUGAGUUGUUCACCUGAGAAACAGUGUAAUUGAUAUUAAAAUGUACUUUGUGAAGAAUGAAUUUCUUUUAUGAAUGUCUAUGGGACAUUUCUAAUUAGAGGUUGACCGAUAGGGGUUUGACCGAUAUCAAUUGCCGAUAUUUAGAAAUCAGGGCAGCUGAUGGCCUGCUGAUUUUUGCAGAUAUGUUUGGUUGAUUUUUAAAAAAAUGUUUUUUAAUUUUUACAUUUUAUUUAUUUAUUUUUUUUUCCCAUUCAUAUCAAAAAAGAGAGUUUGAGUAAAUGUUUAUUGCAGGGUACACGAUAGUAAUAGUGGUAGUAGCCUAAUUCAUAGUAAUGAUACAUGGCUCAAAACCUAAGCACCUUCUCAAAACAGUUCUGAAGCAUGCUUUUUGUUUACAUUUGCUGACAGACACCAGUGUUUCCCACAGACUUGCAAAUGCAAAUCCAUUCUCUGUCAGCUGGAGGUAGACUACUGUUAUAGCUGGAGAUAUAAUCAGUGGUGUAGUCUACGUGAUACGCAGGUAUACGGCAUAUACCCACUAGCAAAGGUCACGGAUUUCCGUAUACCCACUUAAAAAAGCGCGAGGAUAUGUAACAACAUAUUUGUGACAGAACUUUCACACCUUCAUUCAUAAAUUCACCCUGUCUGUGUUGCGAUCGAAGCACUGACUUUUUGAAAAUCACGCUGUGUUUCUGUUGAUGACCAGUGCUAUUGCGCAACUCUUUAAUUUCAACCGACUGGCUGAGGCUGUCCUGCGCCACUGCUGCACGUCACCACGAAAGCCUAUCAUUAGGCUUAUUUGAGAUGUGCCUCGCCUCGACUGAAAUGUAGGCGAGAGUAGGUGGCUGCAGUGAGUGGAGGAGUGAAAUAAGCGCUGGUAAGACGGACAGUUCUGACCUCUCAAAGUAGAACAGAUACCAACGAGAUCAAAGGCAGAUAUUGCUUAUUCUCACUCAUGUGCUGUGCUGCUGGUAAACAUGAUAUAAUUUCAGUUCUGUCACUUUAUAUGAAAAUAAAUAUGAUGAACAAGA